UAAUUCUAAAGAGAGAGAGUCCAGGGGAGAAGAACCUUGGAAGACACGCCCCUCCUCUCUCUCUCUCUCGGUUUUCAAAACCAGCAACCAACCCCACUUGUAUUAGGAAUUCACUGAACCCAACCCCUGAUCUCUCUCUCCCCCUCUCUCUGUGUAAUAUCAGUAGUAAUAAUAAUUGUGAUCAUUGAAAUACAGUGCAACAGCCCACAAGUGUAUCAAAAGGAGAGGAGAUACCAAUCCCAUUCCACCCUUCCCAUUCGUUCAUCUAACAUCCAUUCCACCUUUAGAAAUUAAUGUAGCAGAAAACCCACUUCUCAAUUUUUGUGCUUGAAAUUGUCUUGAUUAGUUUUCUAUGCUGCAGGCUACUGACCAGAAAAGAAAGGAUCUGUAAAGGGGUCUGUCUGUCGUGUUGCCUCAUUCGGAAAUUUUCUUAUCACCACAACGGAAGGCUUCGGUAGCUUUUUCAACAUCACUGUUGUUCAACCUCGGAGUCUGGUUGGAUUACUGGGGACGACGUCUCAGGGUUUGCGCAUUGAACAAGUAGCGAUUCUUUUGUGGACAGAUAGAGACAAGUGGUAUUGAUUAGAGGUCGAAGAUGGUUGCGACUGUUGUUUCUUAGAAGGGAUACCCAAAAUCAAUUUUUCUUGCAAGAUUAAGUUUUGAAUCCGCUCUUCAUUUGUAGCUAUUGAAGAAACACUACACUGGGUUGUUAAAGUAGAAGCCGGAAGGAUUGCUACCUUAAGAGGAUUCUCUGAAUUUUAAAUUUGAUUGCAUACUUGAACCAGCAAUUUAACUACGUCACAAGUGUUUUGAGUUUCGAAAAAUCUGGAAGUUUGGACAUUUCUUUGGCAGAUAUAUGGCUCUUUAAAUUCAGAUAUUGUGUGAUUUGCAUCAGUUCAAUCUGAUCUGGGGUGCUGUGAAUUGGGUGGGUGGCUAGGAGAAUUUUAAAUGAGAUUUGAACUUCCUGAAUCGGAUCCGAGAUUGUUGAAAGCUUUGAUUUAUUCACGAAACCACUCUACAAGUCGCAUUAUGGAUGCAAGAACAAGAAAGGUUCCUUCCCCCCUGCUUGAACGAAACAAGAUAGAAUAUCAUCAUCACGGCCAUCAUCAAGGAAAGAAGAUUGAAUACCAACGCACCCUUUCACAUGGGAAGGGGAGCAGCAGAAGAUUGUUGACAACAAGUUACUUCAGCAUAGAGUCAUUGCUUUUACUCGUAUGUCUCACGGCGUCUUUGCUGAUUCUUCCCUUGAUACUUCCACCAUUGCCGCCGCCACCAUUCAUGCUGCUUCUGCUCCCUAUAGGGAUUCUGGCAGUUCUUAUGAUUUUGGCUUUCAUGCCUUCUAACGUGAGGGACAUAACCUAUACAUAUGUAUAAAUGGUGUCAUAAACAUGCAAAUGCACCUCUCUCAUCAUACAAAUUUUGUAACUGCCUCAAUGUUAACAAGAAAUGGAUGAACAGUUCUUUUAUUUCUUAUUGAUA